rnacentral:rRNA from 1 species
UACGAAGGGGGCUAGCGUUGCUCGGCAUCACUGGGCGUAAAGCGCACGUAGGCGGCUUUUUAAGUCAGAGGUGAAAUCCUGGAGCUCAACUCCAGAACUGCCUUUGAUACUGGAGAGCUUGAGUCCGGGAGAGGUGAGUGGAACUGCGAGUGUAGAGGUGAAAUUCGUAGAUAUUCGCAAGAACACCAGUGGCGAAGGCGGCUCACUGGCCCGGUACUGACGCUGAGGUGCGAAAGCGUGGGGAGCAAACAGG